AUUGAACGCUGGCGGCAGGCCUAACACAUGCAAGUCGAACGGUAACAGGAAACAGCUUGCUGUUUCGCUGACGAGUGGCGGACGGGUGAGUAAUGUCUGGGAAACUGCCGGAUGGAGGGGGAUAACUACUGGAAACGGUAGCUAAUACCGCAUAACGUCGCAAGACCAAAGAGGGGGACCUUCGGGCCGCUUGCCACCGGAUGUGCCCAGAUGGGAUUAGCUAGUAGGUGGGGUAACGGCUAACCUAGGCGACGACCCCUAGCUGGUCUGAGAGGAUAACCAGCCACACUGGAACGGAGACACGCUCCAGACUCCUACGGGAGGCAGCAGUGGGGAAUAUUGCACAAUGGGCGCAAGCCUGAUGCAGCCAUGCCGCGUGUAUGAAGAAGGCCUUCGGGUUGUAAAGUACUUUCAGCGGGGAGGAAGGGAGUAAAGUUAAUACCUUUGCUCAUUGACGUUACCCGCAGAAGAAGCACCGGCUAACUCCGUGCCAGCCGCCGCCGUAA
rnacentral:rRNA from 1 species